rnacentral:lncRNA from 1 species
AAGAAGUCAGGCCACUACAAGUGCCACAGCUUGAGCAAACUGUGCAGCCUGUAGCUCCACCUGGGAAGGUGUAAAAAAUCUGGGAGGCCACAAACCAUGGAAGCUGUACGCAUGGCGUAGUGGACUAGCGGUUAGAGGAGACCCCUCCCUUGCAAGUCGCAGCAACAAUGGGGGCCCAAGGUGAGAUGAAGCUGUAAUCUCACUGGAAGGACUAGAGG